AACGAACGCUGGCGGCAUGCCUAACACAUGCAAGUCGAACGAGACCUUCGGGUCUAGUGGCGCACGGGUGCGUAACGCGUGGGGACCUGCCCUUAGGUUCGGAAUAACUCCCCGAAAGGGGUGCUAAUACCGGAUAAUGUCUUCGGACCAAAGAUUUAUCGCCUUUGGAUGGGCCCGCGUUGGAUUAGCUAGUUGGUAGGGUAAAAGCCUACCAAGGCGACGAUCCAUAGCUGGUCUGAGAGGAUGAUCCGCCACACUGGGACUGAGACACGGCCCAGACUCCUACGGGAGGCAGCAGUGGGGAAUAUUGGACAAUGGGCGAAAGCAUGAUCCAGCAAUGACGCGUGAGUGAUGAAGGCCUUAGGGUUGUAAAGCUCUUUUACCCGGGAUGAUAAUGACAGUACCGGGAGAAUAAGCUCCGGCUAACUCCGUG
rnacentral:rRNA from 1 species